UGGGGAAUAUUGGACAAUGGGGGGAACCCUGAUCCAGCCAUGCCGCGUGUGUGAAGAAGGCCUUAUGGUUGUAAAGCACUUUAAGCGAGGAGGAGGGUACUGGUAUUAAUACUACCAGGUACUGGACGUUACUCGCAGAAUAAGCACCGGCUAACUCUGUGCCAGCAGCCGCGGUAAUACAGAGGGUGCGAGCGUUAAUCGGAUUUACUGGGCGUAAAGCUUGCGUAGGCGGCUAAUUGAGUCGGAUGUGAAAUCCCCGAGCUUAACUUGGGAAGUGCAUUCGAUACUGGUUAGCUAGGGUGUGGGAGGAGAUGGUAGAAUUCCAGGUGUAGCGGUGAAAUGCGUAGAGAUCUGGAGGAAUACCGAUGGCGAAGGCAGCCAUCUGGCCUAACACUGACGCUGAGGUACGAAAGCAUGGGGAGCAAACAGGA
rnacentral:rRNA from 1 species